CAGCCACUGGUGUUACCAUUAGAUAUGCAGCUUCAGGGACUUAUUUUGUCUCACCAAUCCUACUUUCCUCGUCAAUAAAGUGAGAACGAGAGUGUCUGCCUUGCAUGCAUCAGAAACUGUGAAGAUACAAUCAAGUAAUACAAGCUGUACAGAAUGAGAUAAUGAAGCCUACAUUUUAAAAUAUAGCAGGCAUCUACCAAUCAUAACGCAGUUUCACUUUCAUUACGACGUUUAACUUUUUCUGACAACAACCUUAUGAGGUAGGAUUAUAAUGAUGUUUAUUUUACAUGUGAUGAAAGUUGGGUUCCUUCAUUUAAUAGAUGCUCCUUGAGCAGGUUCUGUGAACAAGACAAGACCAUGGGAAUUGUAGUUGAGAAGAGGAAACAGACUGCAGUAGAGACGGGGUUUCACCGUGUUAGCCAGGAUGGUCUCGAUCUCCUGACCUCUUGAUCCGCUCACCUUGGCCUCCCAAAGUGCUGGGAUUACAGGCGUGAGCCACCGCGCCCGGCCUUUUAUCCUACUUUCAAAAAACAUACCCAGAGUCUGAGUGUUUCUCCUUACCUCCAGCGCCACUCCAUGGCCCGAGCUCUGUUUCACCUGGUUCUCACCUGGAUCGCGGCCUCCAAUUUGCGCAGUGACCCCUACAGUCUAUUCUCCAAACAGCAGCUGGCGUGGUCAUUAUGAAAAGCAAUGUCCACCUGCUGCUCAAAAACCCACGAAUGGCUCCCCAUUUCUUUCCCAUUAAAGCCAAAGUCUAAAACAUUUACAAAGCGUUAUAUGAU
rnacentral:lncRNA from 1 species